rnacentral:tRNA from 1 species
UGGUGUGGCUCAAUGGCAGAGCAGCUGAUUUGUAAUCAGCAGGUUGUUGGUUCGACUCC